rnacentral:rRNA from 1 species
GAGGACCGAACCAGGGCACGUUGAAAAGUGCUUGGAUGACUUGUGGGUAGCGGAGAAAUUCCAAACGAACUUGGAGAUAGCUGGUUCUCUCCGAAAUAGCUUUAGGGCUAGCGUCGAUGUUAAGUCUCUUGGAGGUAGAGCACUGUUUGGGUGAGGGGUCCAUCUCGGAUUACCAAUCUCAGAUAAACUCCGAAUGCCAACGAGAUAUCAUCGGCAGUCAGACUGCGAGUGCUAAGAUCCGUAGUCGAAAGGGAAACAGCCCAGACCACCAGCUAAGGUCCCAAAAUAACUGUUAAGUGGAAAAGGAUGUGGGGUUGCACAGACAACUAGGAUGUUAGCUUAGAAGCAGCUAUUCAUUCAAAGAGUGCGUAAUAGCUCACUAGUCGAGUGACCCUGCGCCGAAAAUGUACCGGGGCUAAAACAGUUUACCGAAGCUGUGGAUGACACAAAAGUGUCAUGGUAGGAGAGCGUUCUAUGUGUGAAGAAGGUGUACCGUGAGGAGCGCUGGAACGCAUAGAAGUGAGAAUGCCGGUAUGAGUAGCGAAAGACAGGUGAGAAUCCUGUCCACCGUAAGACUAAGGUUUCCAGGGGAAGGCUCGUCCGCCCUGGGUUAGUCGGGACCUAAGGAGAGACCGAAAGGUGUAUCCGAUGGCCAACAGGUUGAUAUUCCUGUACUAGAGUAUAUAGUGAUGGAGGGACGCAGUAGGCUAACUAAACCGGACGAUUGGAAGAGUCCGGCUAAGCAGUGAGGUGUAAGAUGAGUCAAAUGCUUAUCUUUAUAACAUUGAGCUGUGAUGGGGAGCGAAUUGUAGUAGCGAAGUUAGUGAUGUCACACUGCCAAGAAAAGCUUCUAGCGUUUAAUGAUACUCUACCCGUACCGCAAACCGACACAGGUAGUCGAGGCGAGUAGCCUCAGGUGAUCGAGAGAACUCUCGUUAAGGAACUCGGCAAAAUGACCCCGUAACUUCGGGAGAAGGGGUGCUGACUUAGGUCAGCCGCAGUGAAUAGGCCCAAGCAACUGUUUAUCAAAAACACAGCUCUCUGCUAAAUCGUAAGAUGAUGUAUAGGGGGUGACGCCUGCCCGGUGCUGGAAGGUUAAGAGGAGGGUUUAGCGCAAGCGAAGAUCUGAAUUGAAGCCCCAGUAAACGGCGGCCGUAACUAUAACGGUCCUAAGGUAGCGAAAUUCCUUGUCGGGUAAGUUCCGACCCGCACGAAAGGCGUAAUGAUUUGGGCACUGUCUCAACGAGAGACUCGGUGAAAUUUUAGUACCUGUGAAGAUGCAGGUUACCCGCGACAGGACGGAAAGACCCCAUGGAGCUUUACUGCAGUUUGAUAUUGAGUAUCUGUACCACAUGUACAGGAUAGGUAGGAGCCAUUGACUUCGGGACGCCAGUUUCGAAUGAGGCGUUGUUGGGAUACUACCCUUGUGUUAUGGCUACUCUAACCCAGAUAGGUUAUCCCUAUCGGAGACAGUGUCUGACGGGCAGUUUGACUGGGGCGGUCGCCUCCUAAAGAGUAACGGAGGCGCCCAAAGGUUCCCUCAGAUUGGUUGGAAAUCAAUCGCAGAGUGUAAAGGUAUAAGGGAGCUUGACUGCGAGAGCUACAACUCGAGCAGGGACGAAAGUCGGGCUUAGUGAUCCGGUGGUACCGAAUGGAAGGGCCAUCGCUCAACGGAUAAAAGCUACCCUGGGGAUAACAGGCUUAUCUCCCCCAAGAGUUCACAUCGACGGGGAGGUUUGGCACCUCGAUGUCGGCUCGUCGCAUCCUGGGGCUGUAGUCGGUCCCAAGGGUUGGGCUGUUCGCCCAUUAAAGCGGCACGCGAGCUGGGUUCAGAACGUCGUGAGACAGUUCGGUCCCUAUCCGUCGCGGGCGUAGGAAAUUUGAGAGGAUCUGCUCCUAGUACGAGAGGACCAGAGUGGACUUACCGCUGGUGUACCAGUUGUCUUGCCAAAGGCAUCGCUGGGUAGCUAUGUAGGGAAGGGAUAAGCGCUGAAAGCAUCUAAGUGCGAAGCCCCCCUCAAGAUGAGAUUUCCCAUGAUUUUAUAUCAGUAAGAGCCCUGAGAGAUGAUCAGGUAGAUAGGUUAGGAGUGUAAGUGUAGCGAUACAUGUAGCGGACUAAUACUAAUAGCUCGAGGACUUAUCCAA